rnacentral:lncRNA from 1 species
AAAAAGUAGAAAAAAAUCCAAACAAAAAAAAAUAAGAAAAAAAUCAAACAGAAAUAAAAUAAUAAAUUAAAGUGUUUAUGGAUUUAAAGUCCAUUUACAAUUCAUUUAGCCCAAAAAAAUAAUAGCCUAAACAAACACCCAAAAUCCCUUAACCCAAUUACAUAAAAUCCGACCCAAUUAAAUAAAUCCUAAAACCCAAUUCUAAUAGCCCAAACACGAGGCCCAAUACACCCAAAAAGGAGUACAGCAGAUGAGAGCACCAGAAGCUUCUGGAAUAGGCCAGAGAGUUGGGUUCCCACGAGUGGCUCCUCGCACGGCCUCCUUCGCACGUCUCCUCGCACCUCCGUACGGCCGAGUCUGUACAGGAAUACACCAGAAGAACCACUAACAGAAUACGACAAAUAAAUGUAAUUUUUAUUUUUAUUUAUUCUAAAAAUUUGGCUAUAAAAAGCUGUUGAUUUCAUCUCUGUAAUCUUACGCACACUACACAAAUCCAAUACCAAGAAUCAAAAAAAUCAAAAGGUGAUUUAAAAUUUUUCUUCCGUCUUCAAUAUUUUUUUCUCUUUUGCAUAUAUCUUGUUUUUAGUUUUUUUUUUUUUUAAAAAGAAAAACAAGAAAGUUACCUUCGUGAAUGCAUCGAUAAGAUCCCUUGUCUUCUCCAUCGAAAUCGAGGUUAGAAAUGCGGAUACUCAAGUGAAAAUGGUCUUUGAGUGUUGAUUCUGAUGGAAAUAAAGGCUGCUUCUACACCACUUACCAAUUUUAAUGGUGAACUGGUGACGAAAUGGUCUUAGUAAACCCUAGAACUACUGCGCCGAAACCCGUACAAAUGGGUGCUUAGAUUGUGGCUUGAAAAAUGGCAGAAUGCCAUUCAAUUUCUUUUUAAUUUUGAAUCAAAAUUGAAACAGCGCCGUUUAUAAUGAGGAAGAUCUGCGCGUCAGCCCGUUUAGCAGGACAGAUCUGCGCAUUUCCAUUCAAAAUGGGGAAUUUGCGCAUUAGAUCCUUCCCUUCGCGCGAAGCCUUCAAUUGCGCCCUAUUAUCUUACCUUGUUUUUUUAAAAUUUGGCUCUGUAAUUUGUGCGCCUUUUCACUUUGGUCCGCGGUUCAGUGCAGCGUUUUGGGCGCGGGAUAUUUCCAAUUCCAGUCCCCGCACAUUGAUCCUAUUUUGCAAUUAUUUUAUUUGUAAAUUGUUGCUUCAAUUUUUUUUUUAAAAUUAAGUUGUUAUUCUUUUUUAUUUACUGCACAUACAUUUUCUUUUACAUGCUUGAUUAUUGGUUGUAAUAUUUCACGUUGCUUUGAUAAUUGAAUGUUGUUUUAAAAACAUUAUUAUAAUCUUUUCUCGUUUAUUCUAUCAUUUUAAUAAUUGGUGUGUUAUUUGUAAUAAAAUUCAUUUUAG